rnacentral:rRNA from 1 species
UACAGAGGGUGCGAGCGUUAAUCGGAAUUACUGGGCGUAAAGCGUGCGUAGACGGCUAUCUAAGUCGGUGUGAAAGCCCGGCUCAACCUGGAAUUGCAUUCGAGACUGAAUAGCUAGGUACGGUAGAGGAAGUGGAAUUUCCGGUGUAGCGGUGAAAUGCGUAGAUAUCGGAAGGAACAUCAGUGGCGAAGCGACUUCCUGGACCAGUACCGACGUUCAGGCACGAAAGCGUGGGAGCAACAGG